GGGUCCACAACUUCCUUUCCAUUUUGCUGGUGGAGGGCCAAGCCCGUCAUCCUUAAAGCUCUCGGAUUGUGGAGUUAUUCCUGGUACAUGAUAAGAAUAUUGAUAAACAUAGAAUUAUAACAAGAAACCAAAUUUUUAUUCGUUUAGUUAAUGGUUUUCUACCUGUAUCCAGUAGACCGACUAUGAUGUUGCUCUCAGUUUUAAAAUUUCUUCUUGCCGAUGGAUUUAGCCCAAUAAAUUCCCACGAUUUAGUGGUAUGUAAUUUGUGAUACCGGUUGGCGAAGAUGGAAAGUACUUCAUCCAUAUCUGUAAAAAAAAAAUAUUCCUUCAUGACCUCCAAACGGUAAAACAAGAUGUAAUCAUAAAUGACGGUUUAAUUAACAUACCAGAUAAUGCCGUUGCUUCAUCUUCCGACAGUUUUGCUGCAAAUGCAUUGAAGCUUCUUGUGUAGCUAUGAACAAGGGACUCUGAGGCAUCACUUUCACUGUUCCAAUAUGGAAUUCACAAGUCAUUCUUGUAGAUUAAUUUCUUUAGGGGGCCGAGGUUGGAUAGUUGGAUCACUUGUCAUUACUCAUAAAUUUGGAAAUUUCAUGAACAUAAAUUUGUUUCCGUAUUGCAAUAUCUAUGUAUAUACUCAUAUAUAUAAACUCAAAACACACACGGAGAUCAGAUAUACUCAACCAACCUUCCCUUCAAGGAUGAAAGGACAUCAAUAUGUGUCUUGAGUGCCAAUCUAUCAGUCACUGGAUGAUCUCUCAAGAAGACAAUGUAAAAUUCCUGCAAAGAAUAGGAUCACAAUAUUGAUAUAAUCCAAAAACUCAAAACAUAAACUAAGACAUGUUCCUAAUAAAUUUAGAGUAAGCUACACAAAUCCUUUUUUUGUGACUCUGUUGUUCAUUUUUUCUAAUUUACUGGAAGAGCUGACUAAUGUUUACCUUCUGCAGAUUCCCAUAGGCAAUUUCAAGACCUGCAAAGGUAAGGAAAAGAAAAAGACUGUACAGUGGAAGCAACUCAAUGUAAACCCUCUUAGACAUCUUAAACCAUCAACUCAUAUAUUUGUGCAUGUAUUCUGAGUGUUUUUUUCACAUUUAAAUAGGCUGAAUUGCAAGGCAUUGCAGAAGAAGCAAACAAUGUAAUCUUGAAUAGAUAAAGGAUAAGAUGUGACUUUAGCUUAAAUUCUUACAGGUUUUGGAUUGGCAAAUCUUAUACGAAAGAUAGAAAAAGUAUGUGAUGUUAUUUUGACAAAAAGUAUGUGAUGUUAUUUUGACAUUUUGACAACGAAUAUGAUGUUAUUUUGACAAAGCAUAUGAUGUUAUUUUGAAAGAGAAUGUCUUGAAUUUUGUAUUAAUAUUUGAGAGAAAACUUUAUGCAGCAUUCAUCUUCUAAUUUCGGUUACUUUUACGGGAUUGCAGUGUUUUAUUUGCUUUACGAAAUGACCGCUGAGAAUAAAAUACUUUAAAGUUGGGUUUUGAUAUUCAAUAAAUAUAGGGCUAUGAUGUUAAAUGUGGGAAUAUAUUUCAUAGGUCUCAAACUGAAAUUAUUAGCAACAACUAAGUUCAAACGCUCUACCCAACCUAUUUAUAUUAUCUCUUGAAUGACUUUGAAUUUUGGUCCAUUUAGCCCUGUUAUUGGUUCAACUAAAAGCCUAACCUAACAAUACUUGUAUAUGAGCUUACCCCUAGCCUUUUUUGAGUGUGUGAUUUGUGUGUUUUGAGAGGAGAAAAAGUGGCUGCCAUUGAGAGACAAAAAAGGGGCUGCCUUUGUGGUGCCAAAAACCAGCGACUUCCCUUUCACUUUGUGGUCUCUUCCUUGCCUUGUUUCAUGGUGUUUCGUCUUGCCUUUGUCGCUACGAAUCAUUACCAUUAUCUUAUUCUUUGUGGGUGAGAUUGAGAAGCAACUGAGGUCACGGGCGGAGCCAUGUAUGCACUCAACUUUGGGAAAGAAUAAUGAUUAGUGUGGAGUAGCUUCGGUAAAAAUAUGUUUUACUAAACUCGGCCAUGUAUAGUUCAGUAACUCUGGAAAACCGGAAGCAGCUUCCUCCAUGUGAGAAAAGUUGGUGGGAGAAAAAAAUUGUGCCCGCACUGAAUUUUUUUUUCUAGCUCCGCCCCUGACCGAGGUGGAUAUAUCGGUUGUGGAUUAGAGCCGUUUGAAUUGGUUGUUUGGUAGAGAAAGAUAAUGUGAAACUGAGCUUGAAACACACUGAUUCGACGACCCUUGGAGCGAGCUUCAGUGACAUUUAAUGUUGGUUUGGCAAGUUGCAGUGAAUAAAUUAAACAUAAUCGUAACCUAAUCAUUCAUUUGCUGACGUUAAUCAUUUCAUCAAACUUAAUUUGUGAUGUCUUAUUAUGAUUAUGACAACACUAAAUUUUUCCAUGCAACUAUAAUAAAACCAAGUUUGAUCUUUUACCUUCUUUUAUAUACUCCUUUGCUACCACAAUCUUCUAAUUGAACACGUCAAAAGAAUAUAUUUGAUAUGAUCAGCUCUCAGUUCACAAGGUUCUCAAAUCAAAUGAGGAAUGUUCGGAAGCAGGUAACACGAGCUCUUUGUCCCACAGGUCUAUCCAGAAGCAACUGUAGUUCACCAAUUCCACCUAGUGCUUCUAUCCUUCGGCAAAGAUAUGACAAAAACAAAUGUUUAUCAUGUCUCGUUUUCUUGUCCUUUCCAAUUAUGUUCAGUAGAGUGUACCAUUCAUUUCAGAAAUUCAAGUGAAUUGACUUUUUCCGUAUAUUGUUUUACCAAAUCGUAGGACUUGAUAGUAAAAAAAUAUGAAUGAAAAUUAAGAACCAUAUUAUCUAGAACUCCUUGCUUGGAUUCAAAUGCAAGUUUCCCACCUUGAUUACUUUGGUAGCAAAGCUGAAAGCUAGCUUAAAGUUUGUGUAAAUCACUUGUUAAGUUAAUCAGUUUCCAAUUUUUACAACGCAAGCAUCGUAAAAUGGUUGCUUGUUUGAUGAAUUUAUUGACCAAAACAAUUCAAAUUCUUCUUUUGUAGUAAGCUUUACGACUCUUAAAACUCUCUAAUAUUUUUAUCGAGUCAAGAACUUGGCUAGCCCAUGCUGCCAUCCAAAUUGAUUCUACUGCAAGAUACAAUGGUGAAUCUGAGGUUCAUGAAGCUUAGCUAAUUGAAAUUAUUAGUUAUGGGACUUGUGGCUAUGAUGAAUUAUACAGCAAAAAGUUCUGUUUAUUUAGAGAAACAAAACCUUCAUCCACUACACUGCAAUAAAACGAUUCCCAUAGGCAAUUUCAAGACCUGCAAAGGUAAGGAAAAGAAAAAGACUGUACAGUGGAAGCAACUCAAUGUAAACCCUCUUAGACAUCUUAAACCAUCAACUCAUAUAUUUGUGCAUGUAUUCUGAGUGUUUUUUUCACAUUUAAAUAGGCUGAAUUGCAAGGCAUUGCAGAAGAAGCAAACAAUGUAAUCUUGAAUAGAUAAAGGAUAAGAUGUGACUUUAGCUUAAAUUCUUACAGGUUUUGGAUUGGCAAAUCUUAUACGAAAGAUAGAAAAAGUAUGUGAUGUUAUUUUGACAAAAAGUAUGUGAUGUUAUUUUGACAUUUUGACAACGAAUAUGAUGUUAUUUUGACAAAGC
rnacentral:lncRNA from 1 species